rnacentral:lncRNA from 1 species
UCCAGGACAAUUGGUGCUGUCCCCAUGGGUCAAGUGGUGACUGGUACUCUAGGUGCAGAUCUGGUGGUCACUUUUUCCAAGUCAAAACAACGACCGAGGCAACUUCUAUUGAAAUGCUUUGCUUACAGCAAAGUUCUGCCUCAUGACAGCAUAGACUUCAGCAUCAGAAACCUGUCCAUCAGCGAUGUUCAUUGCAGAAGGAAUGGCUUCUCCCUGCUGUGGAAGCUUCCAACUUUGCUGCAUAGAUGAGAACCCUGGGCCAUCCAGGCCUAAUCAGAGUUGGCCAACCCCCAGGCUGAGUGGCCACACUGCUCCGUUGUUUGCAAGGAGAAGUUUGAUGUGGCAAGAAGCUGGAAAAGGCACAACAUCUGGAAGUCUGGUGAUGAUAUUGCAGUUGGUGUGGUUCCUGCCAGGGUCACAAGUAUAAAGAGCUUCUCAGACCUGAGAUAGUUUUGCUGUCAAGAUAUGACAGAGUCUGCAGCUGUGGGUGUCAUGAAGACAGUUAACAAGAAGGCUGAUGGAGGCAGCAAGACAAAAUGUCCAUCCAGAAAUCU